UCAUUAUGAUGAGAAAACAUUUUCAGUUCUGCUUCUGCAAAAUUUUUGAAGAUAACAAAAUACCUUACCAAAAACUCCUGAUCC
rfam:Penicillium camemberti str. FM013